rnacentral:lncRNA from 1 species
GGGCAAAGCACCUCCCCGCCUCCCCGCCUCCGCGCAGGCGCACUUGGGGCCGGUAGCCAAGGUCGGGAGAGCAUGUGCUAGAGUCCAGGAAUACUCAGUAAUCAACUAUGCAAAGUUCCUGCCUUGGGUGUCACAAUCUGGUCAGAGGGAGAGACACAGAGAGGCCAUCACAAUAUGAGACGUUAAUGCUGAGAAAUCUUGUUCAUAUAAAUAAGUACACGGGAAUGGAAGACGUUCUGGCAGACUCUCUCCGUAUCACCAAAUCAUCGAGCAGGUGACAACUGAAUUUGUUUCACCUCCUUCAAUUGUUGAAAGCGAAAUAUUGUGCAAUCUUUGCUUUACAAAAGGAUUUAUUGUCCACUCA